CAGCCGCCGCGGUAAUACGGAGGAUCCGAGCGUUAUCCGGAAUUAUUGGGUUUAAAGGGUGCGUAGGCGGAUAGAUAAGUCAGUGGUGAAAGACGGUGGCUCAACCAUCGCAGUGCCGUUGAUACUGUUUAUCUUGAAUAUGGAUGAGGUAGGCGGAAUGUGGCAAGUAGCGGUGAAAUGCAUAGAUAUGCCACAGAACACCGAUUGCGAAGGCAGCUUACCAAGGCAAAAUUGACGCUGAGGCACGAAAGCGUGGGGAUCGAACAGGAUUAGAUACCCGUGUAGUCCCUGUCUCUUAUAC
rnacentral:rRNA from 1 species